GGAAGUGUGACCGAGCGGUUUAAGGAGCCUGUCUUGAAAACAGGUGUGUAGCAAUACACCGAGGGUUCAAAUCCCUCCGCUUCCGCCA
rnacentral:tRNA from 2 species